AGAAGAAAUCAACCCUGCUGACACCUUGCUCUUGGACUUCUAGCUUCCAGAACGGGAAGCAGGGUGGUUUGCUUCAUCACCUUUCAGCAUCUCUUACUAUAGAGGAUGGCAAUAUCCCAAGACCUGGUGCUGAAGGUAGCAGCAGCUGGAACUCGUCUGCAUCCUGGACUCACAAAGAAAAAAUAAUCAACGGGAAAGAGAAGAAAAUUUCCAAGACCUGGAAAUGCAUAUGAAUUUUUAUGUGCUAAGGAGCCACCAACUGUCAGGCAGAAUCUAUACAAACAGACCCAUACUGAGAUCAUCCUCCCUGAAUUUCAGAACAACAAACAUACACAGAAGAGCCUCAAAAUCUUGGGAAAGAUUUUUGGAUGAGCGGGAAAAAAAAGUUACUCAACAAGGAAUGAGACGCAGAUGGCUGUCAAGCUGCAUUAUUUGUAUUGGAUUCUAGAUGACAAAGAAGCAACAUCUUUGAAGCCCUAUGGGAUAGGUAUUUGGAACACAAAAAUACAAAUUCAUCCAAGCAAGUUUUCAAGUGUGCCCUCUCUCUUAGCACCAACAAGUAUUUGACGAUUCAAAUGAGAGCAACCUCAGUAGUUGGUGAAAAGAAAACUAAGUUUUUGUCAAAGACAAAUUUAUCAUGAAGCCACUGAAGCUUGAACUUCAAAGUCUUAAACUUGCUUAUACAUUUCAGACCGUGUGUGUGUGUGUGUGUGUGUGUGUGUGUGUGUAAAAAGAUAUUUAUUAUAAGAAAUUCGCUCACACAAUUAUGGAGGCUGAGAAGUCCCAACAUCUGCUGUUUGCAAUCUGGAGACCCAGCUAAGCUCCAUGAUGUAGUUAAGUUGGAGUCCAAAGGUGGGAGCCUACGAGGUAGCUUUCAGUCCAAGUCUGAGGCCUGAGACCCAGGAGCCCCAAGAACCGGAGAAGACAGAUAUCCCAGCUCAAGCAAGAAAGGCUGAAUUCUUCCUUCUUCCACCUUUUUGUUCUGUUCUGGUCCUUGAUAGAUUGGAUGAUGCCUGUCCACACCUGGGAAGGCAAACCAUUCUACUGUGUUCACUAACUUAAAUGCUAACUUUAUUUGGAAACACCCUCACCAACCCAUCCAGAAAUAAUGUUUUGCCAAAUAUUUGGGCAUUCCAUGAUCCAGUCAUGCUGCCACAGAAAGUUAAUAAUCACACCAUGCAAAACCUAGAUAUGUGCCUAAAUGCAGCAAGUUAAGCAGUAGGUAUCAAAUUAGGGAAAAGAAAAGUAAAUAGAGAUGCCUUUUUCAAAAAAGGGGCAAGAGAGGGAAAGAUGAUGCUAGCUAUAGGAAACCAUAGAGUCAGGAAGUUUCUUUAGAAGACUGACCUAAAUAUGUCCAUAAGAAAUGUGGUAAUGGGGAUGGAGGAGGUGAAAAUUCAGUGGAAAGUGGGACUAAUUUAUGGAGAAAAGUAUCAGAGAAACAGAAAAGAUUUUGGUUAAAAAUUCAGGUUGAAAAAUCAGUCUUGAAAUAAUCUAAGGAUUGUUUUCUCCUCACCUUAGUAUUAUCAUGGGAAAGAGUGCUGAUGUUCAUUUUUUGAGGGAGUAUGGUUAAGGCUGGUCAUGACUGAUGGCUUGAUCUUUCCUUAUGAGAUGGGAAAAAUGCUGUCUGCUCACAUGGAGGCAUUUUUCUGAAGGUGUUUCCCCUCGUGUAUAAUUUGUUUACAAUAUUUUCCAGAAUGAACAAUUACGUUGCAGAAUCAAUAUGACAUACAUAUUUUGAUCGGUCCUGAAAUACAAAAUUCUCUAGACAGCCUCUUUACAUGUCUGCUGAUUUUACAGAUAAAUAGAUUGAGAUGUUUUUAGCAUGGUCUGCCAAUCAGCUCCUCAUCAUGUGCAAUCACAGGAAGAGCAGUCACCCAAGAAUCAAAAGAUUUCAAUUCUUCCCACUGUGUUUCUCUGGGCUUCAGCCUCUUCCUUCACAAAACACAUAUACUGGACUAAGGUCUCUCUUGUUUCUAAAAUUGCAUGAGGCUAUUUUAAAUUUAUUUACUAUCUAAACAGAAAAAUUGGAGUGUGGGAAAGGAAGGAAUAAUUGUAAAAUGAGGUAAUCAGAACAUCUUUAAAAAAGAAUAAAUGAUUACAAAACUGAAUCUUAAAG